GACGUAGGGCGCGAGCGUUGUCCGGAUUUAUUGGGCGUAAAGAGCUCGUAGGCGGCUUGUCGCGUCGACUGUGAAAUCCCGCGGCUCAACUGCGGGUCUGCAGUCGAUACGGGCAGGCUAGAGUUCGGUAGGGGAGACUGGAAUUCCUGGUGUAGCGGUGAAAUGCGCAGAUAUCAGGAGGAACACCGGUGGCGAAGGCGGGUCUCUGGGCCGUAACUGACGCUGAGGUGCGAAAGCGUGGGGAGCAAACAGG
rnacentral:rRNA from 1 species